GCUUUAAGAAGUUAUUUAAAGUAACGCCUGCCCAGUGCUUAUUGUAAACGGCCGCAGUACCUUGACUGUGCUAAGGUAGCAUAAUCAGUUGGCUUUUAAAUGGAGUCGGGAAUGAAUGGAUUUAUAGGGUGAGACUGUCUCUAAUAUAUUUUAUUGAAUUUACUUAUUAGGUGAAAAUGCCUAUAUUUAGAAAAAAGACGAGAAGACCCUAGGAGUUUUUACUAACGGUUAGUGAUCUAAUUACUGUUUUUGUUGGGGCGACACUGGAAAACUUGAAACUUCCUUUAUAUAUAUAUGCCGACUUUGUAUGGGCAAUUAAACUACCCUAGGGAUAACAGCGUAAUUCUUUUAGAGCUUGCGACCUCGAUGUUGGACUAGGAAUUUGAUUGGUUAGCCGCCAGUUUUUAUUGUUCUGUUCGAACUUAAUUUCC
rnacentral:rRNA from 1 species